CUCUCUCUCUCUCUCUCUCUCUGUGCCUGACGUCCCUGUUUGUCAAUCUACAACUCCGUGUCCAGGACUCUCAAGAUCGUUUCAUUAACUGUGGGAAGUUGAGACUUUCCCUUUCAACCUCUGCUCUGUAACAUCAAAGACCACCCUGAUCUCCACACUCUUAAGAAAGUGGGGGCUUCUUUCCCUCAGGAUCUAUAUAUGUUAUUCUCUGGCAAGAACCCUCAGCUCCUGUUUGUCAUUUUCAAGUCCCUGCUUCAGGUCUGUAUAACUAUUACAGUCUAAUCAAUGGUUCCCUAUUCUCCAACUGUCACUUCAUUUUUCUUUCUCAUGGGUCUUCUUUCCAGGACACAAAACUCUUUGGUCUUCCCAUGGGCAGAACUUGGCAGAGCCCCCAGAGGACCAGCCCUCACGCAAGAUACCUGGGACAGCAUGAAGGAGUCUGCUUUGAUGCACAUCCCUGGGGCUUCAGACACAGCACAAAUCAAGGAACCUUGGAGAGUCCAGCUGAUGGGAUCAAAUCACAUAUUGGUAUCAAAGUCAUCUCCAGGAAGAGAAAUAAACAAGGGGGUCAUCAAACUUUUGGCAUUAGAAAAGAAAUCUAAUAAAGAGACUAAUGAAGUGUUCUGGGCAAAAUGAGAAUCAG
rnacentral:lncRNA from 1 species